rnacentral:lncRNA from 10 species
UUACGAUAGUUACUUUUGUUAUGUAUUUUACCACAAUUUUUAAAAAGCAAACCAAAACCAACCAAGAGUGCUUCCCCCACACCUCAAAAUCAUCCUGCAGCAGCUCCCUGGCCCAGCUCUCUCUCACCCUGACCCUGGGCCCCUCUCCCACCACCCAGGGCUAGCCCUGUGGACCAACCAUCUCUGCCAGCCCCUCCCCGACCCUCCAGCCAGGGAGGUGGGGCGCUGGCCGGUGAAUGGGGCAGGCCAGGCCCAAAGGCUGGCCCAGGGCUCACCAGCUCUGGACUGGGCGUCCCGUCUGAGGUGGGGAUGACCAACAUGCCAGCUCUGGGUUUUAGCUGAGGAUGGGCACAUCAAGCACUGACAGCCAGCAAGCUGGGCACAGGCGAUGCUCAACCUCUAACACAUCGGCUGAGAACCUCACCUGCCUCUCCCUGCCUGGGAGCCCUGGCAAGACAGCUCCUCUCCCAGGCCCAGCACAGGCAGGAUGACACUAAUGGGGUGAGCAGGGCACACUGG